UACGGGGGGUGCGAGCGUUAUUCGGAAUUACUGGGCGUAAAGCGUGCGCAGGCGGCUUCGCAAGUCAGACGUGAAAUCCCCGGGCUUAACCUGGGAAUGGCGUUUGAAACUACGGAGCUGGAGUGUGGCAGAGGGAGGUAGAAUUCCACGUGUAGCGGUGAAAUGCGUAGAUAUGUGGAGGAAUACCGAUGGCGAAGGCAGCCUCCUGGGCCAACACUGACGCUCAUGCACGAAAGCGUGGGGAGCAAACAGG
rnacentral:rRNA from 1 species